rnacentral:rRNA from 1 species
GCCCCUUCGGGGGCCGAGUAGAGUGGCGUCCGGGUGAGUAACACGUAGGUAAUCUACCUCUGGGUGGGGAAUAACGACCGGAAACGGUCGCUAAUACCGCAUAAUGCAGCGGCACCACAUGGUGACAGUUGUUAAAGCGGGGGAUCGCAAGACCUCGCGCCUAGAGAGGAGCCUGCGGCGGAUUAGCUAGUUGGCAGGGUAACGGCCUACCAAGGCAACGAUCCGUAGCCGGCCUGAGAGGGCGGUCGGCCACACUGGCACUGACACACGGGCCAGACUCCUACGGGAGGCAGCAGUCGGGAAUUUUGGGCAAUGGGCGAAAGCCUGACCCAGCAACGCCGCGUGAAGGAUGAAGCUUUUCGGAGUGUAAACUUCAUAAGAAUGGGACGAAUAAGGAAGGGCUAAUACCCCUUUUGAUGACGGUACCAUUUGUAAGCUCCGGCUAACUCCGUGCCAGCAGCCGCGGUAAUACGGGGGGAGCAAGCGUUGUUCGGAUUUACUGGGCGUAAAGGGCGCGUAGGCGGCGCAACAAGUCACUUGUGAAAUCUCCGGGCUUAACCCGGAGCGGCCAAGUGAUACUGUCGUGCUAGAGUGCGGAAGGGGCUACUGGAAUUCUCGGUGUAGCGGUGAAAUGCGUAGAUAUCGAGAGGAACACCUGCGGCGAAGGCGGGUAGCUGGGCCGACACUGACGCUGAGGCGCGAAAGCCAGGGGAGCGAACGGGAUUAGAUACCCCGGUAGUCCUGGCCUUAAACGAUGGAUGCUUGGUGUCCGGGGUUACAUAGUCCCCGGGUGCCGGCG